rnacentral:rRNA from 1 species
GAUGAACGCUGGCGGCGUGCCUAAUACAUGCAAGUCGAGCGAACAGACGAGGAGCUUGCUCCUCUGACGUUAGCGGCGGACGGGUGAGUAACACGUGGAUAACCUACCUAUAAGACUGGGAUAACUUCGGGAAACCGGAGCUAAUACCGGAUAAUAUAUUGAACCGCAUGGUUCAAUAGUGAAAGACGGUUUUGCUGUCACUUAUAGAUGGAUCCGCGCCGCAUUAGCUAGUUGGUAAGGUAACGGCUUACCAAGGCAACGAUGCGUAGCCGACCUGAGAGGGUGAUCGGCCACACGGGAACUGAGACACGGUCCAGACUCCUACGGGAGGCAGCAGUAGGGAAUCUUCCGCAAUGGGCGAAAGCCUGACGGAGCAACGCCGCGUGAGUGAUGAUGGUCUUCGGAUCGUAAAACUCUGUUAUUAGGGAAGAACAAAUGUGUAAGUAACUAUGCACGUCUUGACGGUACCUAAUCAGAAAGCCACGGCUAACUACGUG